rnacentral:sRNA from 2 species
AGACCAUACUGUGUUGCUCUCGCUUAGAUAGUUAACAAUGACAACAAUGUUAUCCUCCUACAUUUGAUCUCCAUCUUUUGGGUGUAUUAAUAAUGUUGGGACUGAGUGUACUUUAGAUUGGAUGGAAUCACCUAAUCUGAACCCCAGCAUUUUGAAUCCGAAUCUAUCUCAAAGGUCAAUGCUAGAGAUACUAGUAUCAUUGAGCAGAUAUUUUUGACCUCAGAGCGCAACAGCAAGACCCAAAACGCCAGUUGCGAGCAGUAGCCCGUCAACAACUCUGGGUGCUUCGCGGCGCAAGUGCUAGACGUUGACCUUUGCUGUUUACUGGCAUGUCCGUUGCUACGACAUGCAGCUUUUAACGGAUGAGGGCAGGUUUUGAUACCAGCCCGAUGGUGUUACCGGACAUGGGGUUCAUUCACCUCUUCGGGCCUCGCAUGCUAGUCCUCGCUCAAGGGAAAUGGCAAAAUAUUGAAAAACCUGGGCUUGUCAUCGGCCGGGGCAUAGCCAUAUACAGUCAUUCAAUAACUUAGAUAGACCUUUCUUGACAGGGUUCCAAAUACUCUUAGGGCAGUUAAUAUCCUGAAUGCAGUGUUUCAUUGUUCUCGUUCUACGCAGGGGACCAGCAGUUGACUUGAUCCCAACAUGUAUCGCACAGAGUAAGCUGCUACUUAGAUUGAAAAUCACCAAAACGAAACACCAUAAUAUUUUACACUGAAAUUCCACAUUAUUGCCAUUAGCUAUACAGAGUAGCUCUAUAUCAGCAUUUUAAUGUCAAAUGCAGCUGAAGUUGAGUGCUGUUCCAAGUUUGGGUAUUAUAUCAUGAUACUAGGGAUCGCUAAAGGGUUGGAGUGUAAGAGGGUUGAUAUUUAUUGAUAUCGGCUAAGGCUAAGGUCCUGGGAAUGAUAAAAAAU